GUGACCAGCGGAGGGAUCAUUACCGAGUUUACAACUCCCAAACCCAAUGUGAACGUUACCAAACUGUUGCCUCGGCGGGAUCUCUGCCCCGGGUGCGUCGCAGCCCCGGACCAAGGCGCCCGCCGGAGGACCAACCUAAAACUCUUUUUGUAUACCCCCUCGCGGGUUUUUUAUAAUCUGAGCCUUCUCGGCGCCUCUCGUAGGCGUUUCGAAAAUGAAUCAAAACUUUCAACAACGGAUCUCUUGGUUCUGGCAUCGAUGAAGAACGCAGCGAAAUGCGAUAAGUAAUGUGAAUUGCAGAAUUCAGUGAAUCAUCGAAUCUUUGAACGCACAUUGCGCCCGCCAGUAUUCUGGCGGGCAUGCCUGUCCGAGCGUCAUUUCAACCCUCGAACCCCUCCGGGGGGUCGGCGUUGGGGAUCGGCCCUCCCUUAGCGGGUGGCCGUCUCCGAAAUACAGUGGCGGUCUCGCCGCAGCCUCUCCUGCGCAGUAGUUUGCACACUCGCAUCGGGAGCGCGGCGCGUCCACAGCCGUUAAACACCCAACUUCUGAAAUGUUGACCUCGGAUCAGGUAGGAAUACCCGCUGAACUUAAGCAUAUCAAUAAGG
rnacentral:rRNA from 1 species